ACAAUGCACUCACGUGCGAUGGGGCUAUCUCGAGUGCCACCUGAUGAAGGUGGCUUUUCCUAGGUCUUCAAAGCCUUGGGAAUAAGAGGGGGGCAAGACUGGUGUCAGCCGCCGCGGUAACACCAGCCCCUCGAGUGGUGGGGAUGAUUAUUUGGCCUAAAGCGUCCGUAGCCGGCCGAGCAAGUCUUCCGUUAAAUCCAGCGUCUCAAGCGUUGGACCGCGGGAGAUACUACACGGCUAGAGAGUGGGAGAGGUCAGCGGUAUUCUGGGGGUAGGGGCGAAAUCCUUUGAUCCCCGGAGGGCCACCAGUGGCGAAGGCUGCUGACUAGAACACGUCUGACGGUCAGGGACGAAAGCUGGGGUAGCGAACCGGAUUAGAUACCCGGGUAGUCCCAGCCGUAAACGAUGCAUGCUAGGUGUUGGGUUGGCCACGAGCCACCCCAGUGCCGCAGGGAAGCCGUUAAGCAUGCCGCCUGGGAAGUACGAUCGCAAGAUUGAAACUUAA
rnacentral:rRNA from 1 species